CAACUCAACUUCAUCUCUCACAUCCUUCUCUCCUUGUUCAACUUUCAUCAUCAUCAAUCUCAACGACACUAUGUCAAACUCUGCUAAAACUUCUCCAAUUAAGGAUAGCACUGUUCGUUCUGAAAUUUGGGAGUCUCACGUGAUCGACGCAGUUCCUAUUUCAACUGUGCCUCCUACGAGUUCGAUGAAAAAGGAGAAAUGAACUUCAAAGAAGGAUAAAACAUCACAAGUAAGUAUUAAUCCUUCAUCUCCCUCUGCAUCAAUUAAGAAAUCGAAGCGGAAGAGCAAGAAAUCAAAAUCUGAGUCGAGUGGAGGUUUUACCAUGUCUGAACUUCAUGUUGAUCCACUUCAACCGAGUAGUGUUGAUACUCCUGUCGCUGAACCUGUCAUUGAAAUGUUGAUGCACCUGGUAAGAUUCCUGUCAAU
rnacentral:lncRNA from 1 species